rnacentral:ncRNA from 1 species
AAAGAGUGUGUUAAACUUCACCUGCCGAAUACUAGGGCCCCGAAAAUGAAUGGCGCAUAUAGUACUACCGAUCUCAGACAUCAGUUCUAUUGAACUGAGAGUAGGGGGGAUGUGGACAUUUUUGUGAAGGUGCAAUGUGAGUUGGACUGGAAGAAUGUCUAUUACAGAUCCUAAUUGAAGUAGCGAUUAUCCAGGCUUGUAUCCUGGGGGCUGAUGAGGAGUAGGGUUUCUGGACAACUUAAACAGAUCCAGAGUUAGUCGAUCCUAAUCUCAAUAAUGGGAGAAAGGGAGUACAGUUGAUAUUCUGUAACUGACAACAGUUCGCGGCAACGCAUACUAUUUUUCUCCGCCAAUCUUAUACCGUUGGUAGGGAUCUCUUUCCUACAUGACAGUACUAAUACCCAGGGAAACUGGUCAUCAGGCGAACUGCGGCGUUCUGCUGGCAAAACAUAGCUUCGGUUAUGUCAAUGGCUAUUGGAUUGGUCCAUGAAGCGAAAAAUAGUUUACUGUGUCACUCGUACCGAUAACCGCAUCAGGUCUUCUAGGUAAGUAGCCUAUGGCCAUUGAGGCAUGAUAGUUCAGGGAAUUCGGCCAAUUAGAGCUGUAACUUCGGGAUAAAGCUUGGCUCUGAUGAAAAUCAGAACCGAUUGUUACGCGGAGAGCCCAACUGUUUAAUAAAAACGUAGUGUCGCGCUGUGGUAGUAUAGCCAGUGAACGCGACAUGAAUCCUGCUCAGUGCUGUGUCUGUUAAUAUGGUUC